rnacentral:rRNA from 1 species
GUCUAGUAUAAGCAAUCUAUACCGUGAAACUGCGAAUGGCUCAUUAAAUCAGUUAUCGUUUAUUUGAUAGUACCUUACUACUUGGAUAACCGUGGUAAUUCUAGAGCUAAUACAUGCUAAAACCUCGACUUCGGAAGGGGUGUAUUUAUUAGAUAAAAAACCAAUGCCCUUCGGGGCUCCUUGGUGAUUCAUGAUAACUUAACGAAUCGCAUGGCCUUGUGCCGGCGAUGGUUCAUUCAAAUUUCUGCCCUAUCAACUUUCGAUGGUAGGAUAGUGGCCUACCAUGGUUUCAACGGGUAACGGGGAAUUAGGGUUCUAUUCCGGAGAGGGAGCCUGAGAAACGGCUACCACAUCCAAGGAAGGCAGCAGGCGCGCAAAUUACCCAAUCCCGACACGGGGAGGUAGUGACAAUAAAUACUGAUACGGAGCUCUUUUGGGUUUCGUAAUUGGAAUGAGUACAAUUUAAAUCCCUUAACGAGGAACAAUUGGAGGGCAAGUCUGGUGCCAGCAGCCGCGGUAAUUCCAGCUCCAAUAGCGUAUAUUAAAGUUGUUGCAGUUAAAAAGCUCGUAGUUGAACCUUGGGCCUGGCUGGCCGGUCCGCCUCACCGCGUGCACUGGUCCGGCCGGGCCUUUCCUUCUGGGGAACCGCAUGCCCUUCACUGGGUGUGUCGGGGAUCCAGGACUUUUACUUUGAAAAAAUUAGAGUGUUCAAAGCAGGCCUAUGCUCGAAUACAUUAGCAUGGAAUAAUAGAAUAGGACGUGUGGUUCUAUUUUGUUGGUUUCUAGGACCGCCGUAAUGAUUAAUAGGGAUAGUCGGGGGCAUCAGUAUUCAAUUGUCAGAGGUGAAAUUCUUGGAUUUAUUGAAGACUAACUACUGCGAAAGCAUUUGCCAAGGAUGUUUUCAUUAAUCAGUGAACGAAAGUUAGGGGAUCGAAGACGAUCAGAUACCGUCGUAGUCUUAACCAUAAACUAUGCCGACUAGGGAUCGGGCGAUGUUAUUAUUUUGACUCGCUCGGCACCUUACGAGAAAUCAAAGUUUUUGGGUUCUGGGGGGAGUAUGGUCGCAAGGCUGAAAC